AAGGAGCGGGGAUGGAAAUAGCUCCUUUGGAUGUCCGUCUCGGGGCGUCCGUCUGUGGUGGCGGCGGCGGCGGCAAGCGUUAGGCCUUGCUAGUAAACGGUGUUUGCCUAGUGUGUGAUGCUCGGACAAUCAGAUACUUAACGAGAAGCCAAGCAGGACAGGAACAUACAGUAGCAAAUAUUUCUGCCUAUGUCCACUAACAACUGAAUCAUUAGGCCCCGGCCUGUGCCCCAGAUAUGCAGUGGUUAUGGUUGGUUAGGACUUGCUAGAGAAUUUACCCGUCAAAUCCAA